rnacentral:lncRNA from 1 species
AGACAGCGCGAGCUCGCGAGCAGGGGAGGGGGCUCGGGAGCCAGGCCGUCCCUCCCUCUGCCUCCCCGGCAGUGGCCGCCGCCAAGUCCUGUCACCGGGAAAAGGACGGGGCGGAAACUUGCCUCUCGCGCCCCCGAGGAAGGGGCAAAGGUGGACGCAGGGUUGUCCGGGGAGCAGCCCCUGGCCGCGGGGUCCGCAGCAUCUCCGUCGGCAGAGUCCUCUGAGAAGGCGGCCCGGGGAGAGGUGAAGAAGAGUAAGGGGACAGGGGACAAAAUGGGUGACUGUGGUAGAGGGAGGGUGACCUAGAGGUGACUGGAACUGAAGAGAGAGUCAACAGAGGACUGCAUGGGAGGGCAAAGGGCAAUGCCAAAAAGAAAACUAGCGACUGGGACGGGCCUGGGCCGCUGAGUUAGAGGCAGUGGGGCCUGGGGGCUGCAGACGGCAGGGACGGUGCCCCAGGACGAAGAUCGGGGAGAGCCGAGUUCCAGGGUCGCCAGCAGAGGACCCUCGCGCCCGUCCGGCCGGACCCUUCGGCCAGCACCCUGCACCCCCUCGGGCGCACCUCACCCUACCCAACUCCCGGUCCUGCCGCUGCUCCCCGGAGGCGCCCCGCAUCCGUCAAGUCCCCUACGGCUCCAACAGGGAGAGGCUUCUCCCAUUGCAGUCCUAGCUCCAGAGGGGAUGGAGAGGCGCGACUGUGGGAGCUGGAAGGGGCACCACCCGGCAAUUGCGGGAUAAAGCAAAUGCUGCACACAGAGUGUGAAACUUAACCUGGUUGAGAAUUUUCGGCACAUCAUGAAAUCAUAAGUUUGUAUUGGAAAGUCCAUUCUCUAGACAUCCGUGAACAAAGUACUGAGGGGACGUAGGAGAUUGGCACUGAAAAUGCGAGAACCCCCAUUUAAGUGUUACUUAGACCAAUCUGUUUUACGCUUUGGAAAAGCAAGUUUUUUUUCCAACUUAUACGGUAAUUAGUUGAAAAAAAAAACUUUUGUUUAAUGGCAGUUAUCAAACUAUGAGAGGAACAUAUUCCCUGAUUUUAAUCUUAUAAUGAGAAAGGUCACUUGCGGUAGACAAUAAGAGUGUUUAUUGAACACUUACUGUGAAUCUGACUGUGCUAGGUGAUGUAUAUAUG